rnacentral:rRNA from 1 species
AUUGAACGCUGGCGGCAGGCCUAACACAUGCAAGUCGAGCGGAUGAAGGGAGCUUGCUCCUGGAUUCAGCGGCGGACGGGUGAGUAAUGCCUAGGAAUCUGCCUGGUAGUGGGGGAUAACGUCCGGAAACGGGCGCUAAUACCGCAUACGUCCUGAGGGAGAAAGUGGGGGAUCUUCGGACCUCACGCUAUCAGAUGAGCCUAGGUCGGAUUAGCUAGUUGGUGGGGUAAAGGCCUACCAAGGCGACGAUCCGUAACUGGUCUGAGAGGAUGAUCAGUCACACUGGAACUGAGACACGGUCCAGACUCCUACGGGAGGCAGCAGUGGGGAAUAUUGGACAAUGGGCGAAAGCCUGAUCCAGCCACGCCGCGUGUGUGAAGAAGGUCUUCGGAUUGUAAAGCACUUUAAGUUGGGAGGAAGGGCGGUAAGUUAAUACCUUGCUGUUUUGACGUUACCAACAGAAUAAGCACCGGCUAACUUCGUG